GAUGAACGCUGGCGGCGUGCCUAAUACAUGCAAGUCGAGCGAACAGACGAGGAGCUUGCUCCUCUGACGUUAGCGGCGGACGGGUGAGUAACACGUGGAUAACCUACCUAUAAGACUGGGAUAACUUCGGGAAACCGGAGCUAAUACCGGAUAAUAUAUUGAACCGCAUGGUUCAAUAGUGAAAGACGGUUUUGCUGUCACUUAUAGAUGGAUCCGCGCCGCAUUAGCUAGUUGGUAAGGUAACGGCUUACCAAGGCAACGAUGCGUAGCCGACCUGAGAGGGUGAUCGGCCACACUGGAACUGAGACACGGUCCAGACUCCUACGGGAGGCAGCAGUAGGGAAUCUUCCGCGAUGGGCGAAAGCCUGACGGAGCAACGCCGCGUGAGUGAUGAAGGUCUUCGGAUCGUAAAACUCUGUUAUUAGGGAGGAACAAAUGUGUAAGUAACUAUGCACGUCUUGACGGUACCUAAUCAGAAAGCCACGGCUAACUACGUG
rnacentral:rRNA from 1 species